CCUACGGGCGACAGCAGUGGGGAAUUUUGCGCAAUGCUCGUAAGAGUGACGCAGCGACGCCGCGUGAAUGACGAAGGCCUUCGGGUCGUAAAGUUCUUUCGACAGGGAAGAAAAUGCAUAUAAGUAACUGUGUAUGUAUUGACGGUACCUGUAUAAGCAGCCCCGGCUAACUCCGUGCGAGCAGCCGCGGUAAUACGGAGGGGGCGAGCGUUGUUCGGAGUGACUGGGCGUAAAGGGCACGUAGGCGGUGUUGUAAGUCAUUAGUCAAAGGCUAGAGCUCAACUUCAGUAAGGCUAGUGAAACUAUAAUACUAGAGUAUGAGAGAGGAUUGCAGAAUGCCCGGUGUAGCGGUGAAAUGCGUAGAUAUCGGGAGGAAUACCGUUAGCGAAGGCGGCAAGCUGGCUCGAAACUGACGCUGAGGUGCGAAAGCGUGGGUAGCGAACAGGAUUAGAUACCCGUGUAGUC
rnacentral:rRNA from 1 species